GUAGUCCACGCCGUAAACGUUGGGCGCUAGGUGUGGGGGCUUUCCAAGGUUUCCGUGCCGCAGCUAACGCAUUAAGCGCCCCGCCUGGGGAGUACGGCCGCAAGGCUAAACUCAAAGGAAUUGACGGGGGCCCGCACAAGCGGCGGAGCAUGUUGCUUAAUUCGACGCAACGCGAAGAACCUUACCUGGGUUUGACAUGCGCCAGACAUCCCUAGAGAUAGGGCUUCCCUUGUGGUUGGUGUGCAGGUGGUGCAUGGCUGUCGUCAGCUCGUGUCGUGAGAUGUUGGGUUAAGUCCCGCAACGAGCGCAACCCUUGCCCCAUGUUGCCAGCAUUUCGGAUGGGAACUCAU
rnacentral:rRNA from 1 species